rnacentral:rRNA from 1 species
UACGAAGGGGGCUAGCGUUGCUCGGAAUUACUGGGCGUAAAGCGUGCGCAGGUGGUCAUGUAAGACAGAUGUGAAAUCCCCGGGCUUAACCUGGGAAUUGCAUUUGUGACUGCAUGGCUAGAGUGUGGCAGAGGGGGAUGGAAUUCCGCGUGUAGCAGUGAAAUGCGUAGAUAUGCGGAGGAACACCGAUGGCGAAGGCAGUCCCCUGGGCCUGCACUGACACUCAAGCACGAAAGCGUGGGGAGCAAACAGG